GCAGUCGUGGCCGAGUGGUUUUAAGGCGAUGGACUAGAAAUCCAUUGGGGUCUCCCCGCACAGGUUCGAAUCCUGUCAACUGCG
rnacentral:tRNA from 1 species